rnacentral:rRNA from 1 species
CCCGCCUGCAUGAAGUCGGAAUUGCUAGUAAUCGCGGAUCAGCAUGCCGCGGUGAAUACGUUCCCGGGCCUUGUACACACCGCCCGUCACACCAUGGGAGCCGGUAAUACCCGAAGUCAGUAGUCCAACCUCGUGAGGACGCUGCCGAAGGUAGGAUUGGCGACUGGGGUGAAGUCGUAACAAGGUAAC